GACGUAGGGCGCGAGCGUUGUCCGGAUUUAUUGGGCGUAAAGAGCUCGUAGGCGGCUUGUCGCGUCGUCUGUGAAAUCCCGCGGCUCAACCGCGGGUCUGCAGUCGAUACGGGCAGGCUAGAGUUCGGUAGGGGAGACUGGAAUUCCCGGUGUAGCGGUGAAAUGCGCAGAUAUCAGGAGGAACACCGAUGGCGAAGGCAGGUCUCUGGGCCAUAACUGACGCUGAGAAGCGAAAGCAUGGGGAGCGAACAGG
rnacentral:rRNA from 1 species